AUUGAACGCUGGCGGCAGGCCUAACACAUGCAAGUCGAGCGGUAGAGAGGUGCUUGCAUCUCUUGAGAGCGGCGGACGGGUGAGUAAUGCCUAGGAAUCUGCCUAGUGGUGGGGGAUAACGUUCGGAAACGGACGCUAAUACCGCAUACGUCCUACGGGNGAAAGCGGGGGGAUCUUCGGACCUCGCGCCAUUAGAUGAGCCUAGGUCGGAUUAGCUAGUUGGUGAGGUAAUGGCUCACCAAGGCGACGAUCCGUAACUGGUCUGAGAGGAUGAUCAGUCACACUGGAACUGAGACACGGUCCAGACUCCUACGGGAGGCAGCAGUGGGGAAUAUUGGACAAUGGGCGCAAGCCUGAUCCAGCCAUGCCGCGUGCAGGAUGACGGUCCUAUGGAUUGUAAACUGCUUUUAUACAGGAAGAAACACUACUUCGUGAAGUAGCUUGACGGUACUGUAAGAAUAAGGAUCGGCUAACUCCGUG
rnacentral:rRNA from 1 species